AACGAACGCUGGCGGCAGGCCUAACACAUGCAAGUCGAACGCUGUAGCAAUACAGAGUGGCAGACGGGUGAGUAACGCGUGGGAAUCUACCCAAUGGUACGGAAUAACUCAGGGAAACUUGAGCUAAUACCGUAUGUGCCCGAAAGGGGAAAGAUUUAUCGCCAUUGGAUAAGCCCGCGUCGGAUUAGCUAGUUGGUGGGGUAACGGCCCACCAAGGCGACGAUCCGUAGCUGGUCUGAGAGGAUGAUCAGCCACACUGGGACUGAGACACGGCCCAGACUCCUACGGGAGGCAGCAGUGGGGAAUAUUGGACAAUGGGCGCAAGCCUGAUCCAGCCAUGCCGCGUGAGUGAUGAAGGCCCUAGGGUUGUAAAGCUCUUUCGACGGGGACGAUAAUGACGGUACCCGUAGAAGAAGCCCCGGCUAACUUCGUGCCAGCCGCCGCGGUAAAAC
rnacentral:rRNA from 1 species